GUGGGGAAUCUUCCGCAAUGGACGAAAGUCUGACGGAGCGACGCCGCGUGAGUGAUGAAGGCCUUCGGGUCGUAAAGCUCUGUCAUCGGGGACGAACGGCCUCAGCAGGUAAUGGCUGGGGAUUGACGGUACCCGAGAAGGAAGCCACGGCUAACUACGUGCCAGCAGCCGCGGUAAUACGUAGGUGGCAAGCGUUGUCCGGAAUUAUUGGGCGUAAAGCGCGCGCAGGUGGGAUCUUAAGUCCAUUUUGAAAGUUCGGAGCUCAACUCCGUGAUGGGAUGGAAACUGGGAUUCUUGAGUACCGGAGAGGAAAGCGGAAUUCCCCGUGUAGCGGUGAAAUGCGUAGAUAUGGGGAGGAACACCAGUGGCGAAGGCGGCUUUCUGGACGGUGUCUGACACUGAGGCGCGAAAGCCAGGGGAGCGAACGGGAUUAGAUACCCCGGUAGUCC
rnacentral:rRNA from 1 species